rnacentral:rRNA from 1 species
UACGGGGGGAGCAAGCGUUGUUCGGAUUUACUGGGCGUAAAGGGCGCGUAGGCGGUCAGCACAAGUCAGUUGUGAAAUCUCCGGGCUUAACUCGGAAAGGUCAACUGAUACUGUGCGACUAGAGUGCAGAAGGGGCAACUGGAAUUCUCGGUGUAGCGGUGAAAUGCGUAGAUAUCGAGAGGAACACCUGCGGCGAAGGCGGGUAGCUGGGCCAACACUGACGCUGAUGCGCGAAAGCUAGGGGAGCAAACGGG